UACGUAGGGUGCAAGCGUUGUCCGGAAUUAUUGGGCGUAAAGAGCUCGUAGGCGGUUUGUCACGUCGGAUGUGAAACCCUGAGGCUCAACCUCAGGCCUGCAUUCGAUACGGGCAGACUAGAAUUCGACAGGGGAGACUGGAAUUCCUGGUGUAGCGGUGAAAUGCGCAGAUAUCAGGAGGAACACCGGUGGCGAAGGCGGGUCUCUGGGCCGAUAUUGACGCUGAGGAGCGAAAGCGUGGGGAGCAAACAGG
rnacentral:rRNA from 1 species